UACGUAGGGACCAAGCGUUGUUCGGAUUUACUGGGCGUAAAGGGCGCGUAGGCGGCGUGUUAAGUCACUUGUGAAAUCUCUAAGCUUAACUUAGAACGGUCAAGUGAUACUGACGUGCUAGAGUGCAGAAGGGGCAACCGGAAUUCUUGGUGUAGCGGUGAAAUGCGUAGAUAUCAAGAGGAACACCUGAGGUGAAGACGGGUUGCUGGGCUGACACUGACGCUGAGGCGCGAAAGCCAGGGGAGCAAACGGG
rnacentral:rRNA from 1 species